AGAAAAUUUUUUAUUAUCCAACAAAUUUCAACCACGCUCUUCAAAAAUUGAGACGAAAUGAAAUCUCCAAACACACACUUUUCCAUAUCUCAAUCUUAUCACACACACACAAAACACUUCUCUCUCUCUUUAACCACUCUCUCAGAUAACAAAAGCCCACGAAAAUUACAGUCUCAAUGUAGAAAGAAAACAGAGCCCAGAAUUUAAAGAUUCAAAGCAACAAUCACUUUGUAACAAUGUCAUUCUCUUUUGUUGCACUUUCUUAUUUCCUUCUCCGUUUUCAAGUGCUGUGUCAAUAUGGGGGUUUUUCUACGGGUGUUGUAGUAGUAAUAAAAAGUGUGUGUGUGGAGAAUUGUGACAGGACCAGAAGAGGAGAGAGAGAUUGUAAUUUGGUCUAAUCAACUUGUCAGUGGCAGCAGAUUUUUAGAGAGAGAAAGAGAAUUGUUAUAUUGUGACUGUGACGAUUGGUUAAAGAGGAAGAUGGAAAUUUGAUAAAAAAUUGUGGACAGAGAAAUUUUACGAAGGGGAUAUAAUGGUGGAAAUUAUAAUGGUUGGCACUCGGAGGAGAGAUUUUUUUAGCGACACCAUUUUGUUCGAAUUAUGCACCGGGCCCGUGGAUGAUGAUGUAGUGUGGCUUUUGUUAAGAGUGGAGACUAGUUUGUGAUUAACCAAGAGAGAGAGGGGAGAGUGGAGAAAAAAGAAGGGGUGAUGAAUAAAGGAGAGGGGAUGGACGGAGGUGGAGCGUGCGAGUGAGGUGGGUUGGGCUGGUUUCGAAGGAGGUGGACCAACAUUACACGAUUUUUUGUGCAAAUUUCCAUGAUAUUUUAUUAUUUCUUAAUAAAAACAGAG